rnacentral:rRNA from 1 species
GGCGAACGGGUGAGUAACACGUGGGCAACCUGCCCCAGACUCUGGGAUAACCCCGGGAAACCGGGGCUAAUACCGGAUACGACUGCCGCGGGCAUCCGUGGUGGUGGAAAGAUUUCUCGGUCUGGGAUGGGCCCGCGGCCUAUCAGCUUGUUGGUGGGGUAGUGGCCUACCAAGGCGACGACGGGUAGCCGGCCUGAGAGGGCGACCGGCCACACUGGGACUGAGACACGGCCCAGACUCCUACGGGAGGCAGCAGUGGGGAAUAUUGCGCAAUGGGCGAAAGCCUGACGCAGCGACGCCGCGUGAGGGAUGAAGGCCUUCGGGUUGUAAACCUCUUUCAGCAGGGACGAAGCGAAAGUGACUGUACCUGCAGAAGAAGCACCGGCUAACUACGUGCCAGCAGCCGCGGUAAUACGUAGGGUGCAAGCGUUGUCCGGAAUUAUUGGGCGUAAAGAGCUCGUAGGCGGUCUGUCGCGUCGGAUGUGAAAACCCGGGGCUUAACCCCGGGCCUGCAUUCGAUACGGGCAGACUCGAGUGUGGUAGGGGAGACUGGAACUCCUGGUGUAGCGGUGAAAUGCGCAGAUAUCAGGAAGAACACCGGUGGCGAAGGCGGGUCUCUGGGCCACUACUGACGCUGAGGAGCGAAAGCGUGGGGAGCGAACAGGAUUAGAUACCCUGGUAGUCC